rnacentral:misc_RNA from 1 species
GACGUAGGUGGCGAACGUUAUCCGGAAUUACUGGGCGUAAAGGGUCCGUAGGCGGUCGGCGAAGUCGGACGUGAAAGCGCGUGGCUUAACUGCGCGAUGCCGUUCGAAACUGGUCGACUUGACUCCGACAGAGGUCGGUGGAAUUCCUGGUGUAGUGGUGGAAUGCGUAGAGAUCAGGAGGAACACCCAAGGCGCAAGCAGCCGGCUGGGUCGAGAGUGACGCUGAGGGACGAAAGCGUGGGGAGCGAACAGG